AUUGAACGCUGGCGGCAUGCCUUACACAUGCAAGUCGAACGGCAGCACGGGAGCAAUCCUGGUGGCGUGUGGCGGACGGGUGAGUAAUAUAUCGGAACGUGCCCAGUCGUGGGGAUAACGUAGCGAAAGCUACGCUAAUACCGCAUACGAUCUAUGGAUGAAAGCGGGGGAUCGCAAGACCUCGCGCGAUUGGAGCGGCCGAUAUCAGAUUAGGUAGUUGGUGAGGUAAAGGCUCACCAAGCCGACGAUCUGUAGCUGGUCUGAGAGGACGACCAGCCACACUGGGACUGAGACACGGCCCAGACUCCUACGGGAGGCAGCAGUGGGGAAUUUUUGGACAAUGGGCGCAAGCCUGAUCCAGCAAUGCCGCGUGCAGGAUGAAGG
rnacentral:rRNA from 1 species